rnacentral:rRNA from 1 species
AUUGAACGCUGGCGGCAUGCCUUACACAUGCAAGUCGAACGGCAGCACGGGUGUUUGCACUUGGUGGAGAGUGGCGCACGGGUGUGUAAUACAUGGGUAUACGUCCUGUAGUGGGGGAUAGUCCGGCGAAAGCCGCUUUUAUACCGCACACGAUGUGCGGAUGAAAGCGGGGUAUCCUCGGCUCACGCUCUAUGGGGUUGCUCGAUGGCUGAUUAGCUAGUUGGUGGGGUAAAGGCCUACCAAGGCGACGAUCAGUAGCUGGUCUGAGAGGACGACCAGCCACACUGGGACUGAGACACGGCCCAGACUCCUACGGGAGGCAGCAGUGGGGAAUAUUGGACAAAGGGCGAAAGCCUGAUCCAGCAAUGCCGCGUGUGUGAAGAAGGCCUUCGGAUUGUAAAGCACUUUUAGCCGGGAAGAAGGCCAUUACCCUAAUACCGUCGUGGGUUGACGGUACCGAAAGAAUAAGCACCGGCUAACUACGUG